rnacentral:snRNA from 1 species
GUACUUCCAAAGUACAUAUACUAAAAUUGGAACGAUACAGAGAAGAUUAGCGUAGCCCCUGCAUACUGAUUGUUACGAGCCGAAGUCGAGUGCUCACGCAGUUCU